AGCGAACGCUGGCGGCAGGCCUAACACAUGCCAGUCGAACGAACCCUUCGGAGUUAGUGGCGGACGGGUGAGUAACACGUGGGAACGUGCCUUUUGGUUCGGAAUAACUCAGGGAAACUUGUGCUAAUACCGAAUGUGCCCUUCGGGGGAAAGAUUUAUCGCCAUUAGAGCGGCCCGCGUCUGAUUAGCUAGUUGGUGAGGUAACGGCUCACCAAGGCGACGAUCAGUAGCUGGUCUGAGAGGAUGACCAGCCACACUGGGACUGAGACACGGCCCAGACUCCUACGGGAGGCAGCAGUGGGGAAUCUUGCGCAAUGGGCGAAAGCCUGACGCAGCCAUGCCGCGUGAAUGAUGAAGGUCUUAGGAUUGUAAAAUUCUUUCACCGGGGACGAUAAUGACGGUACCCGGAGAAGAAGCCCCGGCUAACUUCGUG
rnacentral:rRNA from 1 species